ensembl:lncRNA
UUUUGGGUUUUCACAGCCUUUAGUAGCAUUUAGAAAGCAUAUUGUACAAACCUGGGAACACAUCUAGGGGUCCGAGGAUGAUUACAGGACAGAAACAACACAUUUAACUCAAUAGUGGAAGGGAAACAGACUCAUUUCUAUGUGAAAAAAACAACAAGGAAAUGACAAUAAACUUCAGAACUAUAAAAUAUGAUACCAGGCCCAUUCACAUUGACUCAGAGCAAAUAGAAUCAGUUGAGCAAUACAAAUAUCUUGGAAGUAAACUUAGCAAAAAAUAUCAGCGUCCUCUCACUGUCAACUGCGUUUAUUUUCAGCAAACUUAAUGUGUAAAUAUUGGUAUGAACAUAACAAGAUUCAACAACUGAGACAUAAACUGAACAAGUUCCACAGACACGUGACUAACAUAAAUGGAAUAACGUGUCCCUGAACAAAACGUGUCCCUGAACAAAAGUAACAGUCAGUAUCUGGUGUGGCCACAAGAUGCGUUAAGUACUGCAGUGCAUCUCCUCCUCUUGGACUGCACCAGAUUUGCCAGUUCUGGCUGUGAGAUGUUACCCCACUCUUCCACCAAGGCACCUGCAAGUUCCCCAACAUUUCUGGGGGGAAUGGCCCUAGCCCUCACCCUUCGAUCCAACAGGUCCCAGACAUGCUCAAUGGGAUUGAGAUCCGGGCUCUUCCCUGGACAUGGCAGAACAUUGACAUUCCUGUCUUGCAGGAAAUCAUGCACAGAACGAGCAGUAUGGCUGCUUGGAGGGUCAUGUCAGGAUGAGCCGGCAGGAAGGGUACCACAUGAGGGAGGAGGAUGUCUUCCCUGGCACAGCGUUGAGAUUGCAUGCAAUGACAACAAGCUCAGUCCGAUGAUGCUGUGAUACAACGCCCCAGACCAUGACGGACCCUGCACCUCCAAAUCGAUCCCGCUCCAGAGUACAGGCCUCUGUGGAACGCUCAUUACUUUGACGAUAGACGCAAAUCAAAUCAAAUGUAUUUAUAUAGCCCUUCGUACAUCAGCUGAUAUCUCAAAGUGCUGUACAGAAACCCAGCCUAAAACCCCAAACAGCAAGCAAUGCAGGUGUAGAAGCACGGUGGCUAGGAAAAACUCCCUAGAAAGGCCAAAACCUAGGAAGAAACCUAGAGAGGAACCAGGCUAUGUGGGGUGGCCAGUUCUCUUCUGGCUGUGCUGGGUGGAGAUUAUAACAGAACAUGGCCAAGAUGUUCAAAUGUUCAUAAAUGACCAGCAUGGUCAAAUAAUAAUAAGGCAGAACAGUUUAAACUGGAGCAGCAGCACGGCCAGGUGGACUGGGGACAGCAAGGACUCAUCAUGUCAGGUAGUUCUGGGGCAUGGUCCUAGGGCUCAGGUCCUCCGAGAGAGAGAAAGAAAGAGAGAAAGAGAGAAUUAGAGAGAGGACACUUAAAUUCACACAGGACACCGAAUAGGACAGGAGAAGUACUCCAGAUAUAACAAACUGACCCUAGCCCCCUGACACAUAAACUACUGCAGCAUAAAUACUGGAGGCUGAGACAGGAGGGGUCAGGAGACACUGUGGCCCCAUCCGAGGAAUCCAACCAUCACCCCCGGUGAAACAAAACUGAGACUCGUCAGUGAAGAACACCUUUUGCCAGUCCUGUCUGGUCCAGUGACGGUGGGUUUGUGCCCAAGGGCAACGUUGUUGCUGGUGACGUCUGGUGAGGACCUGCCUUACAACAGGCCACAAGCCCUCAGUCCAGCCUCUCUCAGCCUAUUGCGGACAAUCUGAGCACUGAUGGAGUGAUUGUGCAUUCCUGGUGUAACUCGGGCAGUUGUUGUUGCCAUCCUGUACGUGUCCCGCAGGUGUGAUGUUCGGAUGUGCAGGUGUUGUUACACGUGGUCUGCCACUGCGAGGAUGAUCAGCUGUCCGUCCUGUCUCCCUGUAGCGCUGUCUUCAGCGUUUCAGGCAUUGCAAUUUAUUGCGGAGAUGGAGACGGAGAUGAGCAGGGACCCUGGGCAUCUUUCUUUUGGUGUUUUUCAGAGUCAGUAAAAAGCCCCCUUUAGUGUCCUAAGUUUUCAUAACUGUGACCUUAAUUGCCUAUCUUCUGUAAGCUGUUAGUGUCUUAACGACCGUUCCACAGGUGCAUGUUCAUUAAUUGUUUAUGGUUCAUUGAACAAGCAUGGGAAACAGUGUUUAAGGGUUGCUGAGUUUACAAUUGACUCAAAACUUUCCUGAACUGCAAACACAGAACAGAUGUACAAAAAGGGACAACAACGACUGUAUUUCAUGAGAUGAAUUAAAUAUCAGGUCAAUAAAAGAAUAACAACCAUAUUCUACACAUCCUUUGCUUAGAGUGUUGCCACUUUCUGUUUCCAAGCUUGGUACAAUCAGCUAUCCAUUUAAAAAAAAAAUAUUUAUACACAAAAAUAGUAAAUCUGUUAAUAUCAAGAACAUGGAAACGCUGUUCUUGGAGAGAGUACUAAGGGCAGGAGCGAGAAUUGCCACCAACCGGACACACCCACUCAACCAGGAGUACCAGCUCAUACCAUCAUGCCACCGAUGCAGUCGAUCUUUACAAAACCACCAGAGCCCAGAAAUCAUUCAUUACCACCAGUAAAAAUCAAUUGAAUAAAUGAACUGUUCCCCCCCACCAGAACUGACAAACUGAAUUCUGAACUGUGUCCACAUGUCUACUGUAGUUGAUUGUGAUUUAUGUAUGUAUUUAUUGCACUUAUUGGCGAUGCUGUGCUGUUGAUUGUUGAGAUGCAAGACAAAUUUCCCAGAAAGGGACACACCAUAAAACAUUAUUAAAUAUCUCAUCAGAAAGUUCAGACCUCUUGGUGUAACAAUUAAAGUUUUGGACUACUACAGUAGCAGUAACCUGGGUUUGUGUCCUGGUCGGGCUACUCCCCAUAUUCGCUACACUGGUGUUAGAACUGGAAGUGGGAUGGUGAGGCCAUCGAAACAUAGGGAUGGCAGUAGUGUUACGCCCCUGAAAACAGGGGAGAAAUAAUCACGAGAGUGAUACGGUGUUGUAUUCUCAAUUCAACGUUUAGUUCAAUCAUUUCACAAAAGUAACACAUUACAAAACAACAGAAAAACCAUUAUACAAAUAACACAGCAAAAUAUCUUAUUAACAACGUACAUGUUCAUUCACAAUCGACAUAAAAUGGCAGCUACUCUCAGUACGAUGCUAUUCUUCACUUCAACCGAGCAGGGCUAAUAUUACUCUCUUCAAACUUAACUCUAACUUCCUCAAGACGUUACUAAGACACACCUUAAACACUCUUGACAUAUUAGUGAGUUAUAACAUUUAAAUUACUAUUUUUAUCAUCAAUAAAGUACCUGAAAACAGGGGAGAAAUAAUCACGAGAUUGAUACGACGUUGUAUU